GGUUCAUUGCGUCGAGCGGCGAAGACGACCGGCUGUAACCCGGCACAACGAUACAUCUCAGGUUCGAGUCCUGAAUGAACCACCA
rnacentral:tRNA from 1 species